GAUGAACGCUGGCGGCGUGCUUAACACAUGCAAGUCGAACGAAGCACUUAUGACAGAUUCUUCGGAUGAUGGAUUAAGUGACUGAGUGGCGGACGGGUGAGUAACGCGUGGGUAACCUGCCUCAUACAGGGGGAUAACAGUUAGAAAUGACUGCUAAUACCGCAUAAGCGCACAAUACCGCAUGGUAUGGUGUGUAAAACUCCGGUGGUAUGAGAUGGACCCGCGUCUGAUUAGCUAGGUGGUGGGGUAACGGCCUACCAAGGCGACGAUCAGUAGCCAGCCUGAGAGGGUGAACGGCCGCAUUGGGACUGAGACACGGCCCAAACUCCUACGGGAGGCAGCAGUGGGGAAUAUUGCACAAUGGGGGAAACCCUGAUGCAGCGACGCCGCGUGAGUGAAGAAGUAUUUCGGUAUGUAAAGCUCUAUCAGCAGGGAAGAAAAUGACGGUACCUGACUAAGAAGCACCGGCUAAAUACGUGCCAGCAGCCGCCGUAAUAC
rnacentral:rRNA from 1 species